AAGUCGUAACAAGGUCUCCGUUGGUGAACCAGCGGAGGGAUCAUUACUGAGUUUACGCUCUAUAACCCUUUGUGAACAUACCUAUAACUGUUGCUUCGGCGGGUAGGGUCUCCGUGACCCUCCCGGCCUCCCGCCCCCGGGCGGGUCGGCGCCCGCCGGAGGAUAACCAAACUCUGAUUUAACGACGUUUCUUCUGAGUGGUACAAGCAAAUAAUCAAAACUUUUAACAACGGAUCUCUUGGUUCUG
rnacentral:misc_RNA from 1 species